rnacentral:lncRNA from 1 species
GUUUUAUUUAGUACACAGGCAAGCAGCAUAAUCCAGUUUGUAUUUUAGAAAGAUCAUAUCAGUUGCUGUAUGGAAACUAGAUUGGAAGGGCCAGGAGAGGACCCAAGGAGGCCAUUCUGUUAUUUAGGGAAGAGAUGAUGGUGGUGUGGAUCGGGUUGUGGUUGGUGGAGGAGGAGAGAAGUGCACAGAUUGUAGAAGUGUUUUAUAAGCAGUCAAGAUUUGUCGAUGGAGUACAUGUGGGCAGUGCUCAAGAUUGUGUCCCACAUUUCUUUUUUUCUUUUUUUUUUUUGUUUGAUUGGGAUGGAGUCUCACUGUAUUGCCCAGGCUGGAGUUCAGUGGCACCAUCUCGGCUUACUGCAACCUCCACCUCCCGGGUUCAAGCGAUUCUCCUGCCUCAGCCUCCCAAGUACCUGGGGCUACAGGCGCCCGCUACCACACCCAGCUAAUUUUUGUAUUUUUAAUAGACAUGAGGUUUCACCAUGUUGGCCAGGCUGUUCUCAAACUCCUGACCUCAAAUGAUCUGCCCGCCUCAGCCUCCCAAAGUGCUGAGAUUACAAGUGUGAGCCACUGUGCCCGGCCUUAAAUUUCUGAUGGAAGGGUGCCAUAUACCGAGAAGGGGAAAUCUGGCAGGGGAACAGGUUUGGGGAGAAAUCAAGAAUUCUAUUUUUUUUUUUAAUUUUUUGUUUUUUAGAGACAGGGUCUCCUUCUUUUGCCCAGGCUGGAAUGCAGUGGUGCAGUCAUAGCUCACCACAGCCUUGAAUUCCUGGGCUUAAGCAAUCCUCGUGCUUCCACAGGCACAUGCCACCACAUCCAUGCUAAUUUGUUUCUUCUCUUGGUAAAGAUGAGGUCUCGCUGUGUUGCCUAGGCUGGUUUCAAACUCUUGGGCUUAAGUGAUCCUCUUGCCUUGGCCUCCCAAAAUGUUAGGGUUACAAGCAUGAGCCACUUGUGCCUGGCCAAGAAUUCUAUCUGUAUAUCUUUAUAGGUCUUGAGACAUCCAAGUGGAGAUGUCAAGAAGGCAGUAUGUGAGUUUGGAAUUCAAAGGAGCGGGCUGGAGAUACACAUUUGAGAGCUGUUAGCAUCGAGACCGUGGGUUUCAAACCUGCAUCUGUGUCAGAAUCACUUGGCGUCAUUCCCAGAGAGUAUGAUUCAGUGGUGGUAUCUUAGGCUUUUUAUGGCAAGCAAGAGAAACCAUCCUGAGCUGAUUUAAGCAGAAAAGGGCUGCACUGAAAGGGAAUGUUCAGUAGUUCACAGAAUUUCUGGGAAGUUGGAAAACUGGGGCUGGGCAGCAGGCAGGAUCUCAGCCAAAAUCAUGCCACCGAGCCAGUUUGGCAGGACACUGCUGCCACACACUAAAUGCCAUCGCUGUGUCACUGUUCCCUGAACACUAGACACCAUUGCUGUGGUUGCCACCAGCAUUGGAAUGGAUCUUCCACUGUGCUCCUGAUUCAAAGUCUGUAGUGAGGGCUUCUGAUUGGUUGAGCUUAGGUGUAAGGGAGGCUGGAAAAGCAAGAAUUUGUUGUUUUCAGCUUUCACAGGAGGUGAACUCUGCCAAGACCUGUGCAGUGAGGAAGUCCCCAGACAUAGGAAGGAGGUCAGAUGCCAGACUGGCACACAAUGACAGAUGUACUUGACAGCAAGUUUGCCAGCUUGUGGGAUUGUCUGGGAAUCUGCAUUUAAACCAGCACCCUGGAAAUUCCCAUGCAGGUGCUGCCUGAACCACAUUUGCAUCCAUUGCUUGAACUGGUACUUAAAGCUGUGGGGGCUGGGCGCGGUGGCCCACACCCGUAAUCCCAGCACUUUGGGAGGCUGAGGCAGGGGGACCACUUGAGGUCAGGAGUUUGAGACCAGCCUGGCCAACAUGGCGAAACCCCGUCUCACUAAAAAUGCAAAAAAUUAGCCGGGCGUGGUGGCACGCACCUGUAGUCCCAGCUAUUCGGAGGCUGAGGCAGGAGAAUCGCUUGAACCCGGGAGGUGGAGGUUGCAGUGAGCCGAGAUUGCGCCACUGCACUCCAGCCUGGGUGAAAGGGCAAGACUAUGUCUC